rnacentral:rRNA from 2 species
UAGGGAAUCUUCCGCAAUGGGCGAAAGCCUGACGGAGCAACGCCGCGUGAGUGAUGAAGGUCUUCGGAUCGUAAAACUCUGUUAUUAGGGAAGAACAAAUGUGUAAGUAACUAUGCACGUCUUGACGGUACCUAAUCAGAAAGCCACGGCUAACUACGUGCCAGCAGCCGCGGUAAUACGUAGGUGGCAAGCGUUAUCCGGAAUUAUUGGGCGUAAAGCGCGCGUAGGCGGUUUUUUAAGUCUGAUGUGAAAGCCCACGGCUCAACCGUGGAGGGUCAUUGGAAACUGGAAAACUUGAGUGCAGAAGAGGAAAGUGGAAUUCCAUGUGUAGCGGUGAAAUGCGCAGAGAUAUGGAGGAACACCAGUGGCGAAGGCGACUUUCUGGUCUGUAACUGACGCUGAUGUGCGAAAGCGUGGGAAUCAAACAGG